GACGAACGCUGGCGGCGUGCUUAACACAUGCAAGUCGAACGGAAAGGCCCUGCUUUUGUGGGGUGCUCGAGUGGCGAACGGGUGAGUAACACGUGAGUAACCUGCCCUUGACUUUGGGAUAACUUCAGGAAACUGGGGCUAAUACCGGAUAGGAGCUCCUGCUGCAUGGUGGGGGUUGGAAAGUUUCGGCGGUUGGGGAUGGACUCGCGGCUUAUCAGCUUGUUGGUGGGGUAGUGGCUUACCAAGGCUUUGACGGGUAGCCGGCCUGAGAGGGUGACCGGCGACAUGGGGACUGAGAUAGGGACCAGACUGCUACGGGAGGCAGCAGUGGGGAAUAUUGCACAAUGGGCGGAAGCCUGAGGCAGCAACGCCGCGUGCGGGAUGACGGCCUUCGGGUUGUAAACCGCUUUCGCCUGUGACGAAGCGUGAGUGACGGUAAUGGGUAAAGAAGCACCGGCUAACUACGUG
rnacentral:rRNA from 1 species